rnacentral:rRNA from 1 species
AUUGAACGCUGGCGGCAGGCCUAACACAUGCAAGUCGAACGGUAACAGGAAGCAGCUUGCUGCUUUGCUGACGAGUGGCGGACGGGUGAGUAAUGUCUGGGAAACUGCCUGAUGGAGGGGGAUAACUACUGGAAACGGUAGCUAAUACCGCAUAACGUCGCAAGACCAAAGAGGGGGACCUUCGGGCCUCUUGCCAUCGGAUGUGCCCAGAUGGGAUUAGCUAGUAGGUGGGGUAACGGCUCACCUAGGCGACGAUCCCUAGCUGGCCUGAGAGGAUGACCAGCCACACUGGAACUGAGACACGGUCCAGACUCCUACGGGAGGCAGCAGUGGGGAAUAUUGCACAAUGGGCGCAAGCCUGAUGCAGCCAUGCCGCGUGUAUGAAGAAGGCCUUCGGGUUGUAAAGUACUUUCAGCGGGGAGGAAGGGAGUAAAGUUAAUACCUUUGCUCAUUGACGUUACCCGCAGAAGAAGCACCGGCUAACUCCGUG